UGGAGCAUGUGGUUAAUUCGACGCAACGCGAAGAACCUUACCAGGCUUGACAUCCCUGACCGCGUAUGAAGUACGUUUUCACCCUCGGUGACAGGGAGACAGGUGGUGCAUGGUUGUCGUCAGCUCGUGUCGUGAGAUGUUGGGUUAAGUCCCGCAACGAGCGCAACCUCGCCUUUAGUUGCCAGCAUUCAGUUGGGCACUCUAGAGGGACUGCCGGUGUCAAACCGGAGGAAGGUGGGAUGACGUCAAGUCCUCAUGGUCUUUAUGUCUAGGGCUACACACGUACUACAAUGGCCGGUACAAAGGGCAGCCACUCAGCGAUGAGGCGCUAAUCCCAUAAAGCCGGUCUCAGUCCGGAUCGCAGUCUGCAACUCGACUGCGUGAAGUUGGAAUCGCUAGUAAUCGUAGAUCAGCAUGCUACGGUAAAUACGUUCCCGGGGCUU
rnacentral:rRNA from 1 species